rnacentral:rRNA from 1 species
GAUGAACGCUGGCGGCGUGCCUAAUACAUGCAAGUCGAGCGAACAGACGAGGAGCUUGCUCCUCUGACGUUAGCGGCGGACGGGUGAGUAACACGUGGAUAACCUACCUAUAAGACUGGGAUAACUUCGGGAAACCGGAGCUAAUACCGGAUAACAUGUUGAACCGCAUGGUUCAACAGUGAAAGACGGUCUUGCUGUCACUUAUAGAUGGAUCCGCGCCGCAUUAGCUAGUUGGUAAGGUAACGGCUUACCAAGGCAACGAUGCGUAGCCGACCUGAGAGGGUGAUCGGCCACACUGGAACUGAGACACGGUCCAGACUCCUACGGGAGGCAGCAGUAGGGAAUCUUCCGCAAUGGGCGAAAGCCUGACGGAGCAACGCCGCGUGAGUGAAGAAGGUCUUCGGAUCGUAAAACUCUGUUAUUAGGGAAGAACGAAUGUGUAAGUAACUAUGCACGUCUUGACGGUACCUAAUCAGAAAGCCACGGCUAACUACGUG